AAUGAACGCUGGCGGCGUGCUUAACACAUGCAAGUCGAACGAGAAAGGCCCUGCUUGCAGGGCCGAGUAGAGUGGCGCACGGGUGAGUAACACGUGGAUAAUCUACCUUCAAAUCGGGAAUAACUGUUCGAAAGGGCAGCUAAUACCGGAUACUGUCUUUACGACUUCGGUUGUAAGGAUGAAAGGGAGCCUCUGAUUCAAGCUUCUGUUUGGAGAUGAGUCCGCGCACCAUUAGCUAGUUGGUGGGGUAAAGGCCUACCAAGGCUACGAUGGUUAGCUGGUCUGAGAGGAUGAUCAGCCACACUGGAACUGACACACGGUCCAGACUCCUACGGGAGGCAGCAGUGAGGAAUUUUGCGCAAUGGGGGCAACCCUGACGCAGCAACGCCGCGUGAGUGAAGAAGGCCCUUGGGUCGUAAAGCUCUGUCAAUGGGGAAGAAAUUAUGGUGUGUUAAUAGCAUAUUGUAUUGACGGU
rnacentral:rRNA from 1 species